rnacentral:rRNA from 1 species
AUUGAACGCUGGCGGCAGGCCUAACACAUGCAAGUCGAACGAGUGGCGGACGGGUGAGUAAUGUCUGGGAAACUGCCUGAUGGAGGGGGAUAACUACUGGAAACGGUAGCUAAUACCGCAUACCAUCGGAUGUGCCCAGAUGUGAUUAGCUUGUUGGUGGGGUAACGGCUCACCAAGGCGACGAUCCCUAGCUGGUCUGAGAGGAUGACCAGCCACACGGGAACUGGAACACGGUCCAGACUCCUGCAGGAGGCAGCAGUGGGGAAUAUUGCACAAUGGGCGCAAGCCUGAUGCAGCCAUGCCGCGUGUAUGAAGAAGGCCCUAGGGUAGUAAAGUACUUUCAGUCGGGAGGAGUUACCGACAGAAGAAGCACCGGCUAACUCCGUGCCAGCAGCCGCGGUAAUAC